rnacentral:rRNA from 1 species
UACGCAGGGGGCAAUGGUUAAUCGGAAUCACUGGGCGUAAAGGGCACGUAGGCGGCUUGAUAAGUCAGGUGUGAAGUCCCUGGGCUCAACCUGGGAAUGGCAUUUGAUACUGUUGAGCUAGAGUCUGGUAGAGGGAGGUGGAACUCCAGGUGUAGCGGUGAAAUGCGUAGAGAUCUGGAGGAACACAGGUGGCGAAGGCGGCCUCCUGGGUCAAGACUGACGCUGAGGUGCGAAAGCGUGGGGAGCAAACAGG